UGCAAGUGUGUUUUGCAAACACACCCAGGAACCAUUUUGUCUGCUAAACAAUCAUCUCCUGGGGGAGCCCCCCCAACACACACUCUCACACACACACUCACACUCAUGUGCACUCACACACACACUCACAUGCACUCACACACACACUCAUGUGCACUCACAUGCACUCACACUCAGCCCACACACUCACACUCACAUGUGCACUCACACACACUCAUGUGCGCUCACACACAAUGCACUCACUCACAGCCCACACUCACACUCACACACACUCAUGUGCACUCACACUCAUGUAUACUCACACUCAUAUAUACUCACACUUACACACCCACACACACAUGCACGUACACUCACACCCACACAUACUCAUAUGCACACACAUGCACUCACACUCACACCCAUAUCCACACUCACACACACUCAUGUGUGCUCACACACACUCAUACACUAUGUGCACUCGCACACACACACACUCAUGUGCGCUCACACACUCACAUGCCCUCAUACACUUAUGUGCACUCACACACACACUCAUGUGCGCUCACACACACUCACAUGCACUCAUACACUUAUGUGCACUCACACACACACUCAUGUGCACUCACACACACUCACAUGCACUCAUACACUUAUGUGCACUCACACUCACACACACACACUUGUGCACUCACAUACACCUACUCACACGCACUCACACACCCACACACACUUUCACACACACAGGAAGGGGUCCUGUUUGUAAAUGAUUAAAGAGUUAAUGGACCCUGUGCAGUUAAAGGGAGUUUGUGUUUGCUGUUCAUUCUUAAAAUGCAUCUAAUUCUCUCUUUAGCCUCAAGUAGCCAGUUUCAGCGCUCAGGACAAGCCCCAGCCAGAGCCAGCCUGGCCGAGUCCACACAAGCUGGGCUCUUUCGCCACAGGGAAAGAUUUGGAGGGCUGCCAAGGUCAAUAGGAGACCCACCCCUGGUGCUCGUGUGCCUCCUGGCAGGAUUUCCUGUCCCUUUGGUGGCAAAGUUGCCCCUGCUGUGUGACAAUUGCACCAUCUGCACGGACCCAGCGGGGAUAGACAACAUGAAGCAAGAAUCCAUGUGUAGCUAGCCCACCCCACCCAGCCUGCUCUAACUUCUGGAACCAUGACUGCUGCAGAAUGCUCUUGAGCAAAAGGAAAUGACUGUAAGAACUGCUCAGUGAUUACACUGGAGAGAUGUCACAAACUGUAGAAUAGAAUUGCUUAAAAGCAAAGCACAACUUUCAAGGUGCAAAACCAAAUGCCCAGAAAAGAGACCAACAGAGCUAAUUUGCAGGGACUGCUUUCUGGAGUAGCAGCCUUCAGCGGUUCUGCAGCUAGCUCCUGUUCAUCUGACCUUUGGUUCCUGGGACUUGAGCUACCAGUUUACCUGCUGAUCUUAGGAUUCGUCAGCCUCUGCGGCCUGUGAGCUAGUGGCCUGCCAGCUUACUUGCUGAUCUUGGGAUUUGUCAGCCUCCGCAGCCUGUGAGCCAGAGAUCUGUUGUCCGACCUGCUGAUCUUGGAUUCACCAGCCCCUGCAGCUAUGUGAGUCAGGAGAAGCCUUUAGCCUGACUCAUGGACUUGGAACAUUCCAGCCUCUACAACCGUAAAAGAAGGAAAAAGGACAGAAAGAAGGAAGAAAAGGAAGGAAAAGAAGAAAAGAAGGAAGGGAGAAAAGAAAAAAGGAAGAGAGGGAGAAAGAAACUAUGCUCCUAUGACUCCUCACCUGCUCCUGUGCUGGCCGUUAGGGUAGAGCUGCUUCAUCACUUUGACUUACUAAUAAUUGUUGUUAUUAUCUUUCCGUGGAGGGUUUUAACUGACUGAUUUAUUUUUAAUGUGGUUUGGGAAUCUCGAGCUAAGAGAUGUAAUGGUUUGCGAAUUUUAUUUUUUUAGUUUUUGAGGAGAGAUGAAGGAUUUUCACUUUCAAUGGAACGUGAGUGUCACUGAAUAUAUCUAUAAUCAGCGUGACUGAGACCCAGGACACAAUGAUGAUUUGGGCAAGGGAUUUUUGGUGAUUGUCUCAGAGACCUGUGUCAUAUUGGUAGAGCAUUAUAAUUUGCAUGCCACAGUCACACUCAUUAUCCCAUUUAGAUAGCAUAACUAUGACUCAAUUCAGGAUUAAUAAAGGGAAGUUGGAAAUUUUUUUAGCUCACAUAAAAAGAAGUCCAGAGAAAGACACUGCCACCCACCCUGUCAAAGUUUUCCUAAGGCUGGUGGAAUAGCUUCUAGUACUAAUGAGGCCUACCAGCUUGUGCAUGCUGACACAUGCCUUGUUCAUGCCAAUUCAUGCCUUGUUCAUGCCUGGGGUAGACAGCUUUCUGUGGUGCCAUUUUCUUAAGAGCAAGGGUGCUGAUUUCCCAGAAUCCUCCAGGAAUCCUCUCCUCUUGUCUCACUGGCACAGAAUGGCUUAGCCAGGGCCAUUUCUAAAAAUAGACAUCUUUGGUUUAGACUUAUCAGCUGGAAUGUAAUAGAUAUUGAGCAGUUAACACAAUGCCCUUUCCAUAGGUCCAUUUUCUAGAUUUUGGUUGACAAACCAGACCCCUUGGGGUAACUCUGCCUGGCUGCCUGUGUUCAUGAUGGAAGUUUCAUCAGAACACAGCCAUGCUGUAUUGUUUCUGGCUGCUUUCAUACUACAAUGGAGACCCUGGUGGCAUAGUGGUUAGGAGCUAUGGCUGCUAACCAAAAGGUCGGCAGUUCAAGUCCACCAGGCACUCCAUAUGGGGCAGUUCUAUUCUGUCCUAUAAGGUCGCUUCAAGUUGGAAUUGGCUCCACGGCAAUGGGUUUUUGUUUUUUCGUGUUACAACAGCAGAAUUGAGUACUACUUAUGACAGAGGCUGUAUGGUCCAUAAAGUCUAAAAAAUUUACUAUCUGGCCCUUUAGAGAAAGUUAUUGACCCUUGCUCUAUAUGAAGAAAGUGGAGCUGAGGAUAAUGACUCUCCCAAAGUCAAAGAGCUAAUAAGAGGUUGAGACUAGAUUUUAACCCAGAUGCCCAAAGCUCUCUGCACUAGCAGAAGACUUUCUCAGGAUAAGCUUGCAUUUUUUUUUUUUUUUUGUGAUGGUGAGCUAAUGCAGCC